CGCCAGACUCCUACGGGAGGCAGCAGUGAGGAAUAUUGGUCAAUGGGCUUACGCCUGAACCAGCCAAGUCGCGUGAGGGAAGACUGCCCUAUGGGUUGUAAACCUCUUUUGUCAGGGAGCAACGCCGGCUACGUGUAGCCGGACUGAGAGUACCUGAAGAAAAAGCAUCGGCUAACUCCGUGCCAGCAGCCGCGGUAAUACGGAGGAUGCGAGCGUUAUCCGGAUUUAUUGGGUUUAAAGGGUGCGCAGGCGGAGGUGCAAGUCAGCGGUAAAGUUGCGGGGCUAAACCCCGUACUGCCGUUGAAACUGCAUCCCUUGAGUGCGCGAGAAGUAUGCGGAAUGCGUGGGGUAGCGGUGAAAUGCAUAGAUAUCACGCAGAACUCCGAUUGCGAAGGCGGCAUACCGGCGCGCAACUGACGCUCAUGCACGAAAGCGUGGGGAUCAAACAGGAUUAGUACCCGAGUAU
rnacentral:rRNA from 1 species